CAACAAUAUUCCCCUAACAGUCACGUUUCAACUGAUUACAGGAAAAUGGUAAAUAAUAUAGCAUCCUUCGUUAAGUUAAACCAUAUUAAUCACAAUUACCUGUACUUUUGACCUCUUGCUGUUCACCAUACUGCAAAACCACAAAAUUGCUGACUUCCUGUGUUCUCCCAAUCUCCUGACCAAUCCCCUUCCCUUUGUACUCAUCAAUAGGAUAACUUAAGGCCAAAAACCAAGCAUGAGGGCCAUUAAAGAGAAGAAAAUCCUAUGACUGUUAAUGCUUCAGUCUAUACUUAUGUUACCAAAGUUAUUUGAAUACGUUUUUAAGAGGACAUUCUUUGGACCUCAGUAAUUCAACUCAGCUGUUCUGGGUGAUGCUGGUGCCAUGUGAAAAUUAAACACAUACUGCUUGAGCUCAUAGCUCCUCCUACAAGACGUCUAUUUUAUGAUGAGAUAUUUUCAGUCAGUUUUUUCCGAACUGCCAUCGACAGCAAACUGUAAGCGUUGGUGGGAGAUAUGGGUUUAAAAAAAUGCAGAAAGACAGUCAUUUAGCCUCAUUGUUUGUAAUGUUCUUUCCAAAAUUUGCUGUUAAUUUCUGCAAAACAACUCAAGUAUGAUCCAGACGAGAUCUUCCUUCUUGUAGCAGUCCCUUUCCUCGUCAACCCCAAGCCAUGAUUUUGCUUGUCACAUCAAACAAGUCACCUUUAUCAUGCCAACAACUUCUUCUUCUUCUUGUUUCCGGCAGGCUAUAGACGCAUCUAUGGCGUAUUGCUCAUGCCAACAACUGAUUACCUACACCUGUUUUAAAUUGCAAGAAGUGCAAAUGCCUUUAAAAUAAAAGUCACAUUAUUCUCAAAGUACAUACAUGUCUAUCAUCAUCAGUGUCACCAAUUUGCAGGUUUCUCCUUGGGGUGUUCCAGUGCUGCCUAAUGGCGAUGUUGACAAGACAGCAGCUCCAAAACUGUGUAUGGAACUUCGCGCCACCCUUUUUCGAGCGCACGUGUCCUUUUUAAUAACAUUGCCAAGUGGAGGUAGAGGAUUGUUAGACUUCAUAGUAAGCAGGUGAUUUGGGGACAACAUCCUCUAGAAGAACUACAUUGCUUUUCCAUGAAAACCUGGGUCCUGUCAACCGACAGGAUAAUGGCAGUCCAACAGUUGAUCCUCUAGAUGUGUGAGCUGCUGGGAUUUUGAUAAGUAGGGAUGUAUCUCCAUUGCUGAGGAAUUGUGCUGAGACGCAUCUUCUACAGUCUGUUGGAAACAUACCCUAGAACUACUUUGGAAUCAUUCCAGAAAUAUUCCUCCACUAUGUCAACAUAUUCAAGCUCCUCUUUCAGCACAUUGCUCAUUUUCACAGUUACAAAUGUAGUGGUCAAUUGUUGUGACCUUUGUAGGGGAUUUUGUGUGACCAAAAAACAAUUGCACAAUUCAGUUGGAGGUACUGUAGGCUUUCAAGGACCGUUCUGUCAUUAGACACAAACUUACGUUGUCGAGUCAACUUUGCGGGCUGAAUGGAAUAUUCCACACUAUCCAUACCAUCCAUAAAAUGGUAUGUGGGAGCUCCUGCUCAUAAAGCUCUGGAUGGUAUGUUUUACAGAAAUGAUGAUGAGGCCUACAAAGAC
ensembl:lncRNA